AGUGAACGCUGGCGGUAGGCCUAACACAUGCAAGUCGAACGGCAGCACAGUAAGAGCUUGCUCUUACGGGUGGCGAGUGGCGGACGGGUGAGGAAUACAUCGGAAUCUACUUUUUCGUGGGGGAUAACGUAGGGAAACUUACGCUAAUACCGCAUACGACCUACGGGUGAAAGCAGGGGAUCUUCGGACCUUGCGCGAUUGAAUGAGCCGAUGUCGGAUUAGCUAGUUGGCGGGGUAAAGGCCCACCAAGGCGACGAUCCGUAGCUGGUCUGAGAGGAUGAUCAGCCACACUGGAACUGAGACACGGUCCAGACUCCUACGGGAGGCAGCAGUGGGGAAUAUUGAACAAUGGGCGCAAGCCUGAUCCAGCCAUACCGCGCGGGUGAAGAAGGCCUUCGGGUUGUAAAGCCCUUUUGUUGGGAAAGAAAAGCAGCAGGUUAAUACCCCGCUGUUCUGACGGUACCCAAAGAAUAAGCACCGGCUAACUUCGUG
rnacentral:rRNA from 1 species